UACAGAGGUCUCAAGCGUUGUUCGGAUUCAUUGGGGCGUAAAGGGUGCGUAGGUGGCGCGCUAAGUCAGGUGUGAAAUUUCGGAGCUUAACUCCGAAACUGCAUUUGAUACUGGCGUGCGUUGAGGACUGGAGAGGAGACUGGAAUUCACGGUGUAGCAGUGAAAUGCGUAGAGAUCGUGAGGAAGACCAGUGGCGAAGGCGGGUCUCUGGACAGUUCCUGACACUGAGGCACGAAGGCCAGGGGAGCAAAACGGG
rnacentral:rRNA from 1 species